UACGUAGGGUCCGAGCGCUGUCCGGAAUCAUUGGGCGUAAAGAGCGUGUAGGCGGUCCGGUAAGUCGGCUGUGAAAGUCCAGGGCUCAACCCUGGGAUGCCGGUCGAUACUGCCGGACUAGAGUUCGGAAGAGGCGAGUGGAAUUCCCGGUGUAGCGGUGAAAUGCGCAGAUAUCGGGAGGAACACCUAUGGCGAAGGCAGCUCGCUGGGACGUUACUGACGCUGAGACGCGAAAGCGUGGGGAGCAAACAGG
rnacentral:rRNA from 1 species